rnacentral:misc_RNA from 1 species
ACAUAACAAAAUAAUUCAAUUACAUAUAUAUAUAUAUAUUCUCUUUCGUAUUUCCCACUAUAAUUCAUCGCAAAUUAUUAAAUAUAAUCCCUAUACUAUACAAAUAAAACCUUAUUACUUAUUCAUCUUAUACGUAAUAAUUUAUAUCUACUAAUCCCAAACUCCCAAACCUUCCCCCACCCCGCCCCACCCCCCAACAACCGCAAAUCUA